GAUGAACGCUGGCGGCGUGCCUAAUACAUGCAAGUCGAGCGAACGGACGAGAAGCUUGCUUCUCUGAUGUUAGCGGUGGACGGGUGAGUAACACGUGGAUAACCUACCUAUAAGACUGGGAUAACUUCGGGAAACCGGAGCUAAUACCGGAUAAUAUUUUGAACCGCAUGGUUCAAAAGUGAAAGACGGUCUUGCUGUCACUUAUAGAUGGAUCCGUGCUGCAUUAGCUAGUUGGUAAGGUAACGGCUUACCAAGGCAACGAUGCAUAGCCGACCUGAGAGGGUGAUCGGCCACACUGGAACUGAGACACGGUCCAGACUCCUACGGGAGGCAGCAGUAGGGAAUCUUCCGCAAUGGGCGAAAGCCUGACGGAGCAACGCCGCGUGAGUGAUGAAGGUCUUCGGAUCGUAAAACUCUGUUAUUAGGGAAGAACAUAUGUGUAAGUAACUGUGCACAUCUUGACGGUACCUAAUCAGAAAGCCACGGCUAACUACGUG
rnacentral:rRNA from 1 species